rnacentral:rRNA from 1 species
GAUGAACGCUGGCGGCGUGCCUAAUACAUGCAAGUCGAGCGAACGGACGAGAAGCUUGCUUCUCUGAUGUUAGCGGCGGACGGGUGAGUAACACGUGGAUAACCUACCUAUAAGACUGGGAUAACUUCGGGAAACCGGAGCUAAUACCGGAUAAUAUUUUGAACCGCAUGGUUCAAAAGUGAAAGACGGUCUUGCUGUCACUUAUAGAUGGAUCCGCGCUGCAUUAGCUAGUUGGUAAGGUAACGGCUUACCAAGGCAACGAUGCAUAGCCGACCUGAGAGGGUGAUCGGCCACACUGGAACUGAGACACGGUCCAGACUCCUACGGGAGGCAGCAGUAGGGAAUCUUCCGCAAUGGGCGAAAGCCUGACGGAGCAACGCCGCGUGAGUGAUGAAGGUCUUCGGAUCGUAAAAGUCUGUUAUUAGGGAAGAACAUAUGUGUAAGUAACUGUGCACAUCUUGACGGUACCUAAUCAGAAAGCCACGGCUAACUACGUG